rnacentral:rRNA from 1 species
GACGAACGCUGGCGGCGUGCUUAACACAUGCGAGUCGAACGGAAAGGCCUUUUCGGAGGUACUCGAGUGGCGAACGGGUGAGUAACACGUGGGUGAUCUGCCCUGCACUCUGGGAUAAGCCUGGGAAACUGGGUCUAAUACCGGAUAGGACCGCACUUUAGUGUGUGUGGUGGAAAGUUUUUUCGGUGUAGGAUGAGCCCGCGGCCUAUCAGCUUGUUGGUGGGGUAAUGGCCUACCAAGGCGGCGACGGGUAGCCGGACUGAGAGGUUGGUCGGCCACAUUGGGACUGAGAUACGGCCCAGACUCCUACGGGAGGCAGCAGUGGGGAAUAUUGCACAAUGGGCGCAAGCCUGAUGCAGCGACGCCGCGUGGGGGAUGACGGCCUUCGGGUUGUAAACUCCUUUCGCCAGGGACGAAGCGUUUUGUGACGGUACCUGGAGAAGAAGCACCGGCUAACUACGUG